UAUAUAAAGGUUUAUUUCUAUACAAAUAAUUUAACGUUUUUCUUCCGUAUUUUUAAGUCAGAUCUUAGUUUUUUUAUUAGUGUAUAUGCAUAUUUUUACAUUAAAUUUUUUAGCAAACUGUUUAGUUAGGCUACAGUACAUUUAAACAAUACACAGUCAAAAUUACAAAGCUGCACUACUCUUGAGGUUGGAACAUUCAUGUUUCCUGAAAGUGAUAUGACAGCCCCGUUGAAAAAAACAGCAUGGUUAGGUAUGUUUUGAAGCAUGGUAGCUGGUUUAAGCUGAGAACCAGCCGGUUGCAUAAAGCACCUUAAGUGUAAUUUUGCCUUAAGUGUGUCCUUAAGUAUACGUUAAGUUUUACUAAAGUUAUUCUCCUAUUGUCUUCGGUAAAGGGAAAUCACCUCUAAAGUGUCAUACUUAAGGGAAAAACUUAAGGUGCUUUAUACAACCAGGCCCCGCACAUGACCAGCUCAAACCAGCUACCAUGCUUCAAAACAUACCUAACUACAGUAGCAUAUGCUGUUUUUUUCAACAGGAAGAGAAAGCACAUGGCAGUAAACAUGACAAAAGUUGCAAUAGUCUAGCCAACAAAAACAUGAUUGAUGAUAAUCAUUAAUAAAUUCACCUUUUCCCAUAUCAUGAAUGGCUAUGGCCUAACCACUACAGUCCAUACAUUAAACCUGGUUAGCUCAGAGAGAAAAACCUUAAGGACAGGAGAAUGGACUGAUUUAAAACUGCAGUUAAAGAAACAUAUGAAAACAAACGUAAUCAGUAUAGAACUUUGGAGAAUGUGGCCAGAGGCUUAACAAAUUUGUUCAAAAUCAAGAGGAUCAUUCUAGGACAAUAAAUCGAGCUGUAAGUUACCAUAAUGUUAAUACAUUUAGUAAUGAUCUUUUCAUAUAGGCCUGCAGUAUGUCAUAAGCAUCUUGUUUGCUCUUUUGUAAAAGUAGUGGAUGCAUUUUUGUUGAUUGUCGUCAGCCCUAAUUUUGUUUCAUGUAAUGGCACUGAAACAUUUUAUAUUUGUGUGCCUGUUUUUUAGAAACCACUUCCAAGCACCAAACGUGUGUAUUCAUUAAACUUGUACCAUACAUUAGUUAAUUUUAUUCAUAUACUGCAAUGAAAACAUCUGACCAAUUAAAUAUAUAGCAACAUUCAAAUAAAACUAAACACGUUUAUUUUCUUUUAAAAACAACCUAUCUUAACUAUAGCUGUUUUUACUACACUUGCUAUUGGUAAACAGAUGUCAUUGGUUGACUCCCCGUGCUGCUUUGAGCACGAUUGGUUAAUCUGACUGUCAUUCAGGAAACUAGCCAAUUAGAGCUGUUCGCGCCCUCACUGGUUCAUUUUGAACAUACGCGUUGAUGUGAUGUCUGUCAGUUAGUUUCAGUAGUAUUGAUGGUCCAGUUAUAUGUAAACAGCGCUGGAGACACGAAGUCGUGUGGAAGUUGCAGGCUGCUGGAGAAUAAUCACACGCAUUAACAGCUUUACCAGCGACCAGCAGAAGGUAAAAACUUGUUUUUGUAUUUUCGUCUAGUGUGAUGCUAAUCGCGAUUAGCGAUAUUAGCACUAACUUCAAUGCUAUACCAUUCUACAUAAUAUUGAGCUUAAGUAAACUUCCUCUUCUCACACGUGUUUUUCUUUAAGUACACAGAAAUAUAUGAUAAGAUUUGCCUGGGCAGUACACACACCUGAUGAAGGGAAGAAAAGCUACCCAGGCACCCAAACUCCAUCAGUAGUUACCACAGCGAGCAGGAUGCAGUUCAUGGCCAGACCUGGUGGUAGAGCGGAGAAUGGUAAGUGGGGACCUGACAAGAGCUGAGAUGAUAGAGCUGGAUAAAGAAGGACGCGGUCUCUUGACAUGUCUUCACCACAAAAUUUCAGAUGCUAUUAGAUUACUAAUGAUAAUCUUAAACUAUAAUUUAUUUUAUUAUUAAUUUUAUUUAGCCUUGUUGUGCAAGCUCUCUGGAGCUUGUGCAGAGGCAGCAGCUUUUGCCAGAGGGGAACUGGAAUCCCCUGGUUGGGCCUGGGUUCUCCUGAGUUUUUUUUUCUCGAUUAGAGUUUUGGGUUCCUCGCCACCGUUUGCAUACUGUUUUUGCACUAUCUGCCUGGCCAGGGGGCUGCUUUAGAAUUUUAAAGUUUUACUUCAUUAAUAUUGCAUAUAGGAAUUUAUAGUCUGUUAUAUUUGACCUGUGCUUCUCUCUCCUUUAUCCUAAAUGUGUGCUCUCACUGAGCGUGUGUGUGUGUGUGUGUGUGUGUGUGUGUGUACUUGUCUGUGUACGCACGUGUGUGUGUGUGUGUGUGUGUGUGCGCAUCCGUGUGUGUGUGUGUGUCUCUAUGUCUAUGUGUGUUAGUACGUGUGCAUAUUGUGUGUGUGGAGUGUUUUGUGUGUGGGUGUGUCUGUCUUCUGUGUUUUCAACCUUUUCUU